rnacentral:rRNA from 1 species
AGAGUUUGAUCCUGGCUCAGGACGAACGCUGGCGGCGUGCUUAACACAUGCAAGUCGAACGGUGAACCCUCUUCGGAGGGGGAUCAGUGGCGAACGGGUGAGUAACACGUGAGCAACCUGCCCCUAACUCUGGGAUAACUCCGGGAAACCGGAGCUAAUACCGGAUACGAGACACUCGGGCAUCCGAUGUGUCUGGAAAGAUUUAUCGGUUAGGGAUGGGCUCGCGGCCUAUCAGCUUGUUGGCGGGGUAACGGCCCACCAAGGCGACGACGGGUAGCCGGCCUGAGAGGGCGACCGGCCACACUGGGACUGAGACACGGCCCAGACUCCUACGGGAGGCAGCAGUGGGGAAUAUUGCGCAAUGGGCGAAAGCCUGACGCAGCGACGCCGCGUGAGGGACGAAGGCCUUCGGGUUGUAAACCUCUUUCAGCAGGGAAGAAGCGAAAGUGACGGUACCUGCAGAAGAAGCACCGGCUAACUACGUGCCAGCAGCCGCGGUAAUACGUAGGGUGCAAGCGUUGUCCGGAAUUAUUGGGCGUAAAGAGCUCGUAGGCGGUUUGUCGCGUCUGCUGUGAAAACUCGGGGCUUAACCCCCGGGCCUGCAGUGGGUACGGGCAGACUAGAGUGCGGUAGGGGAGACUGGAAUUCCUGGUGUAGCGGUGAAAUGCGCAGAUAUCAGGAGGAACACCGGUGGCGAAGGCGGGUCUCUGGGCCGUAACUGACGCUGAGGAGCGAAAGCAUGGGGAACGAACAGGAUUAGAUACCCUGGUAGUCCAUGCCGUAAACGUUGGGCGCUAGGUGUGGGGCUUUUCCACGAGUUCCGUGCCGCAGCAAACGCAUUAAGCGCCCCGCCUGGGGAGUACGGCCGCAAGGCUAAAACUCAAAGGAAUUGACGGGGGCCCGCACAAGCGGCGGAGCAUGCGGAUUAAUUCGAUGCAACGCGAAGAACCUUACCAAGGCUUGACAUGAACGGUAAUCCGGCAGAGAUGUCGGGUCCGUAAGGGCCGUUCACAGGUGGUGCAUGGUUGUCGUCAGCUCGUGUCGUGAGAUGUUGGGUUAAGUCCCGCAACGAGCGCAACCCUCGUUCUAUGUUGCCAGCACGUAAUGGUGGGGACUCAUAGGAGACUGCCGGGGUCAACUCGGAGGAAGGUGGGGAUGACGUCAAAUCAUCAUGCCCCUUAUGUCUUGGGCUUCACGCAUGCUACAAUGGCCAGUACAAAGGGCUGCGAGACCGUAAGGUGGAGCGAAUCCCAAAAAGCUGGUCUCAGUUCGGAUCGGGGUCUGCAACUCGACCCCGUGAAGUCGGAGUCGCUAGUAAUCGCAGAUCAGCAACGCUGCGGUGAAUACGUUCCC